AUUGAACGCUGGCGGCAGGCUUAACACAUGCAAGUCGAGCGGAGAUGAGGUGCUUGCACCUUAUCUUAGCGGCGGACGGGUGAGUAAUGCUUAGGAAUCUGCCUAUUAGUGGGGGACAACAUUCCGAAAGGAAUGCUAAUACCGCAUACGUCCUACGGGAGAAAGCAGGGGAUCUUCGGACCGUGCGCUAAUAGAUGAGCCUAAGUCGGAUUAGCUAGUUGGUGGGGUAAAGGCCUACCAAGGCGACGAUCUGUAGCGGGUCUGAGAGGAUGAUUCGCCACACUGGGACUGAGACACGGCCCAGACUCCUACGGGAGGCAGCAGUGGGGAAUAUUGGACAAUGGGGGGAACCCUGAUCCAGCCAUGCCGCGUGUGUGAAGAAGGCCUUAUGGUUGUAAAGCACUUUAAGCGAGGAGGAGGCUACUGAGACUAAUACUCUUGGAUAGUGGACGUUACUCGCAGAAUAAGCACCGGCUAACUCUGUGCCAGCAGCCGCCGCCG
rnacentral:rRNA from 1 species